rnacentral:lncRNA from 1 species
GUUUUGCUGCUCACCAAGAGCUGACUUCAGGGGAUGCGGACAAUUGCUUGCAUUUUACAAGCAAGAAAACAGAACCAAAAGAAUGAAGGCAUGUGUGGAUCUGGAGUUCAGAACCAGAGGGCCUGCCUGCCAGUUUGCGCUCUCCCUCCCAUCUCCUGCCUCGCCACCAUCACAGCGACUGAGACCCAGGGAUAAUAUGAACUCGUCAAAGGGAUGUGCUGCCAGAAGGGCUGCCUUGCUGGGCCCACUGGCUAUCCGACAGCAUGAGAGAG